GAAGGAGGAAGAUGGAGGGGGGGUGUUUGGGGAUCAAAGAUCUCUGGGGAUGAAAGGUCUGGGGAGGGAGGAGAGAAGAAAAAUUAUGGGGAAGAUUUGGGAUAGGGAAGUGGAGGGAAGGAGAGAAAAAAAGAUUUGGGGGGAGGUAAAAGAAUCAGGAAAAAAAGAUUUGGGGGAAAAGGUUUGGGAGGAGGUAAAAGAAUCAGGGAAAAAAGACUUGGGGAGAAAAGAUUUAAAAGAUUUGGGGAGAAAAGAUUUGAGAGGUAAAAGAAUCAGGGAAAAAAGAUUUGGGGAGAAAAGAUUUGAGAGGUAAAAGAAUCAGGGGAAAAGGUUUGGGGAGAAAAUAUUUGGGAGGAGGUAAAAGAAUCAGGGAAAAAAAGAUUUGGGGAGAAAAGAUUUAAAAGAUUCGGGGAGAAAAGAUUUGGGAGGAGGUAAAAGAAUCAGGGGGAAAAGAUUUGGGGAGAAAGGAUUUGAGAGGUAAAAGAAUCAGGGGAAAAGGUGUGGGGAGAAAGGAAAUAAUUGGGGAGACAGGGAGAGAUUGAGCCGAGGCAAACAGGAAUGGGAAAGGAAGAGAAAGGUUUGGGGGGAGGAAAGGUUUGAGGAGAUAAAUUGGGUGGGGGAGAGGAAUGAGGAGAGCGGGAAAGUGGAGGGAGGUGG